rnacentral:misc_RNA from 1 species
CGGCAAUAAGGGGGGAAAGGGGAGAAAAGGUCGCAAGAGACCACGAAACCCUUACAACAAUCUACCUCCUCCGCCAUCUUCAAUUAAAGGUAGGACAAAAAAUAAGGGAACAGAAAAGGGCAAGUGGCAUUGGACAAUGUCGGAUGAUUAUAAAGAUCUAACACAAGGAUUCAGUGAAUAAAAUAGUUUAAAAUGUUGACUACAUGAG